UUUUGGUUUUUCUUUUAAUACACAUUAGAAGAAAUGAAAAGGGAAUCAGGUGUAAAUCCUGAACAGACCCGCUGCUGUAAGCUCCACCAAAAAGUUUUGAGCCAUACUCAUAUCCACUGUUCGUUAAGAACGGGAAGGACGCCCAAAACGGAGUAAGUCAGAAGACCUGCCAAAUCAAU
rnacentral:ncRNA from 1 species